rnacentral:rRNA from 1 species
UACGAAGGGGGCUAGCGUUGCUCGGAAUUACUGGGCGUAAAGCGCACGUAGGCGGCUCUUUAAGUCGGGGGUGAAAUCCUGGAGCUCAACUCCAGAACUGCCUUCGAUACUGUAGAGCUUGAGUUCGGGAGAGGUGAGUGGAACUGCGAGUGUAGAGGUGAAAUUCGUAGAUAUUCGCAAGAACACCAGUGGCGAAGGCGGCUCACUGGCCCGAUACUGACGCUGAGGUGCGAAAGCGUGGGGAGCAAACAGU